AACGCGAAGAACCUUACCUGGGCUCGAACGGCUUCCCAACGGCGUUAGAAAUAGCGCUACCCCGCAAGGGGGUGGAGUCGAGGUGCUGCAUGGCUGUCGUCAGCUCGUGUCGUGAGAUGUUGGGUUAAGUCCCGCAACGAGCGCAACCCUUGUCCUGUGUUGCCAUGCCGCAAGGCGGCACUCGCAGGAGACCGCCAGCGAUAAGCUGGAGGAAGGUGGGGAUGACGUCAAGUCCUCAUGGCCUUUAUGUCCAGGGCUACACACGUGCUACAAUGGCCGGUACAAAGCGUCGCUAACCCGCGAGGGGGAGCCAAUCGCAAAAAACCGGUCUCAGUUCGGAUUGCAGGCUGCAACUCGCCUGCAUGAAGCUGGAAUCGCUAGUAAUGGCAGAUCAGCACGCUGCCGUGAAUACGUUCCCGGGCCUUGUACACACCGACGCGUA
rnacentral:rRNA from 1 species